rnacentral:rRNA from 1 species
GGACGGGCCCCGCACAAGCAGCGGAGCGUGUGGUUUAAUUCGAUGCUACACGAAGAACCUUACCAGGGUUUGACAUGCUAGUGGUAGGAAACCGAAAGGUGACCGACCCUUCGGGGAGCUUGCACAGGUGCUGCAUGGCUGUCGUCAGCUCGUGUCGUGAGAUGUUCGGUUAAGUCCGCUAACGAGCGCAACCCUCGCUGUGUGUUAUAUGUGUCACACGGGACUGCCGGUCUUAAGCCGGAGGAAGGUGGGGAUGAUGUCAAGUCAGCAUGGCCUUUAUAUCCUGGGCUACACACACGCUACAAUGGCCAACACAAUAGGUUGCUAAGCCGCGAGGUGGCGCCAAUCCAUAAAGUUGGUCUCAGUUCAGAUUGUAGGCUGCAACCCGCCUGCAUGAAGAUGGAGUUGCUAGUAACCGCAGGUCAGCUAUACUGCGGUGAAUACGUUCCCGGGGCUU